CUUGAUGCUGGGGAUUUAUUUUUGUCAGUGGAGUCAAAUGGUCUAGAUGAUCACAUCUGUCUUUGUCAUUAAAAUGAGGUGGACUUGCAAACUUUGCGCUCUUUUGGGUUGAAGCAGAAUUUGCCCGUCUUACAUCUGUUGACCUGAAAGGGUUCCUUUUUGCUGUGCUUGACCAUUAUGGAGAGGUUCGUGGAGCUGUACAAAAUCAAGAGCGGCAUAGGAGGGCUAACUAGGCUCAUAAAAUGCUUCAAUGAUGAUAGCCCUACACAAAGGAAGAGGACAGAGGACCUCAUUUUCUAAAGGAAGAUCCCUCACACACUUUCAAGACUGUGAAGCCGACAGGUAUUGAAGACACGUUUUCUAAGAGGAUGAAAGUUGGCAUUGCGAUGGUGAAAGAAGAAGACAUCAUCGAUGUGUUGGUUGUCCUUGAGGCGGCAGUAAUCCUGUCUAAUCUGAGGGAUGUCUCAAGUGCCAUUUCCAUGCUGAUGGGCCUUCUUUUUGCCCUCAACAUAGACUAUCCAAAGGAACUUAAGGACAUCUUUGAAGUCAUUCAGAACAUCCUAAUGAACAUUGGUGGAAGGCAGUGCAUCUCACUAGUGCAUGGUCUAAGAAACAGACUCUUGCAGAAAGCCAUGCAA
ensembl:lncRNA